UGAAACCGUUCAGGGGUAAACCUGAGAAACCCGAAAGGUCGGCGGGGAAAUUCAUUCGCGUUUCGGCUGUACGGCGUCGAGUGGUAGAGUGACAGGCGGCUUUCGGGCUGCGUGCGCCUGCCUAUUGACGACCGUCGACGAACGCGUGCACUUUUCCUCUUGCCGGACGUCGCGAUCCGUUGGGUGUCGGUCUAAGGCCCGCGGUGGAGCCCUGCUGGUAUUUUUAUCGGCUGGACCCGUGGUGUUUCCCGACCGACUCGCUCGACGGCAUGCCAAUGGCGCAGGGCCGCGACAUAAUUCGCGUUCGACUCGCGGCAAGCGCGGGCGAUGUGACGGUGAUCGGACCUAGUGCCGUUCCUGUCCUCGUUCGACUGUGGCCGCGAUGUUCUCGAACAGACCCUGUGAAACGCCGAUCGGCGACGCUAUAGCUUUGGGUAC
rnacentral:rRNA from 1 species